AGUUCAUAGAUGAUGUAGAUUUGGAGGUGGGCCAACUCAAAGCCCUGGAUUAGCUGAACUUUUCAGCCUGCAGGCUCUCCCUUAUCUGCACCACUAGGGGGAGCUCUCCAGCACUGCUCUGGCUACGCCUACAGGAGCAGGGCCCUGGUCAGCAAUCUUGCUCUCAUGCCCUUGGGGCUGACUGACCUAGCCUUCCUCCUCCCUGUCUCUUCACCACGCUGACCGUAUUCUCCACUCAGUCCUUUUCUCAGUUUCUUCAUCAAGCCCUGGACUCCACAAAGGGUGGAGUGUAAGCUGUGAGCUCAAGGGCAGAGAAUGUGUUUAUUUCACUUUUACAUACUUAGUGCUAACCACAAUGCCUGAUAUAAAUGGGCUGCCCAAGACUAGUGGGCUGAGUCAGGAUCUGAAAGGCACGCACAGCAUCUACCUUACCCGCCCCUCCUGUGAGCCCCCCACUUCUGCUUCUCUGGUUUUGCUUGGGAAUGAACGGAUCAUUUAAUACAUUUUGCAUCAUAUUCUGUCCGUACUGUGCACUUUUCACAAGAACAUUGAAUAGAAAGUAAUCGCCUCUUCCUACAACGCAGGUCAGUGCCACCACAUUGAUUGGACAGCUUAUUUAUUGAGCUGCUAUUUUUUCUCAUAGAUGCUUUAUUUUUAGAAAAUACAGCUUUAAAAAUGAAUGACCUAAAAUAUCUGUAAGAAAGGAAGAGUAGGCAGUUGACCUUGAAGUUACUGACACUGUAAUAAGCCAACAUGAGCUCCAUUGCUGUAAUAACUAAAGACAGAUUUGAAGUCCAUCCUAUCUGUAGUCUCAUCAAAACAAAUAACUCAGACAACAAAGGACAUGAGAUAGAUGACAAACUGCUUUGAUCAAUACUAUGAUAUUUAUUCUGUGUCUUGAAUCCAAGAGGAUAAUGUUGGGAUAUUUUUAUUUCAACUCGGCUAAAACAAUUUAUGUAUUAUCGGUCACAAGAAAGGCAAUGUGGCAAUGUGUAGUGUUUAUAUUAGCAUGUGCCGAGAAUUGUACUUAACAAAUUACUCAAUAAAUACCUAAUUGCCUCGUUUAA
rnacentral:lncRNA from 1 species